GUGAGUCAUCGAAUCUUUGAACGCACAUUGCGCCCGCUGGAAUUCCGGCGGGCAUGCCUGUUCGAGCGUCAUUUCAACCCUCAAGCCUAGCUUGGUGUUGGGGCACUACCCGUCAAACGGUAGGCCCUGAAAUUCAGUGGCGGGCUCGCUAAGACUCUGAGCGUAGUAGUUUACCACCUCGCUUUGGAAGGAUUAGCGGUGCCCCUGCCGUAAAACCCCCCAACUUCUGAAAAUUUGACCUCGGAUCAGGUAGGAAUACCCGCUGAACUUAAGCAUAUCAAUAAGCGGAGGA
rnacentral:misc_RNA from 1 species